UCAGGCCUAACACAUGCAAGUCGAACGAUUAAAGCUCCUUCGGGAGUGUAUAAAGUGGCGGACGGGUGAGUAAGGCAUAGGCGACCUGCCCUAAAGUGGGGGAUAGCCUGGAGAAAUUCGGGUUAAUACCGCGUAAGCUGGACAAGUGAAUAUUGUUCAGUAAAGGCUUCGGCCGCUUUAAGAUGGGCCUAUGUAUGAUUAGCUAGUUGGUAAGGUAACGGCUUACCAAGGCUUCGAUCAUUAGCUGGUCUGAGAGGAUGAUCAGCCACACUGGAACUGAGACACGGUCCAGACUCCUACGGGAGGCAGCAGUGAGGAAUUUUGCGCAAUGGGGGAAACCCUGACGCAGCGACGCCGCGUGGAGGAUGAAGUCUUUCGAGAUGUAAACUCCUGUCAGUAGGGAUGAUAAUGACAGUACCUACAGAGGAAGCACCGGCUAACUCCGUGCCAGCAGCCGCGGUAAUACGGAGGGUGCAAGCGUUGUUCGGAAUUACUGGGCGUAAAGCGUACGUAGGCGGUGAGUUAAGUCGAAUGUUAAAGCGCGGGGCUCAACCCCGUGGAUGCAUUCGAUACUGGCUCGCUAGAGGGUGAUAGAGGAAAGCCGAAUUCCGAGUGUAGCGGUGAAAUGCGUACAUAUUCGGAGGACCGCCAGUAGCGAAGGCGUCUUUCUGGGUCACACCUGACGCUGAUGUACGAUAGC
rnacentral:rRNA from 1 species